AACGAACGCUGGCGGCAUGCCUAACACAUGCAAGUCGAACGAAGUCUUCGGACUUAGUGGCGCACGGGUGCGUAACGCGUGGGAAUCUGCCCUUGGGUGCGGAAUAACUUCUCGAAAGGGAUGCUAAUACCGCAUAAUGUCGUAAGACCAAAGAUUUAUCGCCCAAGGAUGAGCCCGCGUAAGAUUAGCUAGUUGGUGGGGUAAAAGCCUACCAAGGCGACGAUCUUUAGCUGGUCUGAGAGGAUGAUCAGCCACACUGGGACUGAGACACGGCCCAGACUCCUACGGGAGGCAGCAGUGGGGAAUAUUGCGCAAUGGGCGAAAGCCUGACGCAGCGACGCCGCGUGGGUGAUGAAGGCCUGGUCGUAAGACCUGUCGCAGGGAAGAA
rnacentral:rRNA from 1 species